rnacentral:rRNA from 1 species
CCAAUAGCGUAUAUUAAAGUUGUUGCAGUUAAAAAGCUCGUAGUUGAAUUUCGAGACCGGCUUACUGGUCGUGCUUUUGUACGUACUGGUAUAAUCGGUUUCUCCUUUCUGACGAACUAUAAUGCCAUUAAUUUGGUGUUAUAGGGAAUCAGGACUGUUACUUUGAAAAAAUUAGAGUGUUUAAAGCAGGCUCACGCUUGAAUACAUUAGCAUGGAAUAA